rnacentral:rRNA from 1 species
GGUUCUCCCCGAAAGCUAUUUAGGUAGCGCCUCGUGAAUUCAUCUCCGGGGGUAGAGCACUGUUUCGGCUAGGGGGCCAUCCCGGCUUACCAACCCGAUGCAAACUGCGAAUACCGGAGAAUGUUAUCACGGGAGACACACGGCGGGUGCUAACGUCCGUCGUGAAGAGGGAAACAACCCAGACCGCCAGCUAAGGUCCCAAAGUCAUGGUUAAGUGGGAAACGAUGUGGGAAGGCCCAGACAGCCAGGAUGUUGGCUUAGAAGCAGCCAUCAUUUAAAGAAAGCGUAAUAGCUCACUGGUCGAGUCGGCCUGCGCGGAAGAUGUAACGGGGCUAAACCAUG